CAAUCCGCUCUUUUCAGAGCGACCAACACAUUUAUACGUGGAAUAU
rfam:Lasius niger Lnig_2.1_7013, whole genome shotgun sequence.